rnacentral:rRNA from 1 species
GACGAACGCUGGCGGCGUGCUUAACACAUGCAAGUCGAACGAAGUGGCGAACGGGUGAGUAACGCGUAAUCAACAUGGCCUUCAGAGGGGGACACCAGUUGGAAACGACUGCUAAUACCGCAUACUGCAAGAGGGGCUUGGGGCUGGUUAGCUAGGUGGAUGGGUAACGGCCCACCAAGGCGAAGAUCAGGAGCAGGUCUGAGAGGGUGAACGGGUAAAUUGGGACUGACGACCGGCCCAUACGUCUUCUGGAGGCAGGAGUGGGGAAUCAUCCGCAAUGGACGAAAGUCUGACGGAGCAACGCCGGGGGAGUGAUGACGGCCUUCGGGUUGUAAAGCUCUGUUAAGCGGGACGCGGUACCGGAAGAGAAAGCCACGGCUAACUACGUGCCAGCCGCCGCGGUAAUUC